rnacentral:lncRNA from 1 species
CGCGGGCGGAGGGCGGGGAGGGGGCAGGGAGCGGGCGCGGAGCCUCCUCCCGGGUUGCUCUUCCCCGGCCGGACGGAGAGCGGCACUGUGUCCCCGCGGCGCACGCUCCACGGAGCCUCCCCCUCUCCCCGGCCGCCGCCACCGAGCAGCUCCGCGGUCCCUGCCCCGCCCGAGCGCAGCCGCCGCCGCAGGAAGCGAGCGAGCCGAGGGCAGCGGCACGACGAGAGGAUCCCUGGCUUUCUGAUGUGUCCUCUGCUGUUCUGAGGUCGCUGGCAACUAGAUAUCACCUUGUUGAAAAACCUGGCUUAUGUUCCAGCACACAUUGUGCUCUGAUGCUCCAGCAGUCAUUUUCUUCUCAUCUGUGA